ACGGGAGGCAGCAGUGAGGAAUAUUGGUCAAUGGGCGGAAGCCUGAACCAGCCAAGUCGCGUGAAGGAUGAAGGUAUUAUGUAUUGUAAACUUCUUUAGCUGUGGAGCAAUAAUCGCUAUGUAUAGUGAGAUGAGAGUACACAGAGAAUAAGGAUCGGCUAACUCCGUGCCAGCAGCCGCGGUAAUACGGAGGAUCCGAGCGUUAUCCGGAUUUAUUGGGUUUAAAGGGAGCGUAGGCCGUGCUUUAAGCGUGUUGUGAAAUGUAGGCGCCCAACGUCUGCACUGCAGCGCGAACUGGAGCACUUGAGUACGCAGGAAGUAGGCGGAAUUCGUCGUGUAGCGGUGAAAUGCUUAGAUAUGACGAAGAACUCCGAUUGGGAAGCCAGCUUACUGUAGCGCCACUGACGCUGAUGCUCGAAAGCGUGGGUAUCGAACAGGAUUAGAUACCCUGGUA
rnacentral:rRNA from 1 species